UACGUAGGAGGCAAGCGUUGUCCGGAUUUACUGGGCGUAAAGAGCGUGUAGGCGGUGAGCCUAGUCUGCCGUGAAAUCUCUUCGCUUAACGAAGAGGGGUCGGUGGAAACUAGCUUACUAGAGGACGGUAGAAGGGGGUGGAAUUCCCGGUGUAGUGGUGAAAUGCGUAGAGAUCGGGAGGAACACCAGCGGCGAAGGCGGCCCCCUGGGCCGCUCCUGACGCUGAGACGCGAAGGCCAGGGUAGCGAACGGG
rnacentral:rRNA from 1 species